AGUCGAGCGCAGGAAUCGACGGAACCCUUCGGGGGGAAGUCGAUGGAAUGAGCGGCGGACGGGUGAGUAACACGUAAAGAACCUGCCCUCAGGUCUGGGAUAACCACGAGAAAUCGGGGCUAAUACCGGAUGGGUCAUCGGACCGCAUGGUCCGAGGAUGAAAGGCGCUUCGGCGUCGCCUGGGGAUGGCUUUGCGGUGCAUUAGCUAGUUGGUGGGGUAAUGGCCCACCAAGGCGACGAUGCAUAGCCGACCUGAGAGGGUGAUCGGCCACACUGGGACUGAGACACGGCCCAGACUCCUACGGGAGGCAGCAGUAGGGAAUCUUCCACAAUGGACGAAAGUCUGAUGGAGCAACGCCGCGUGAACGAUGAAGGCCUUCGGGUCGUAAAGUUCUGUUGUAAGGGAAGAACAAGUGCCGCAGGCAAUGGCGGCACCUUGACGGUACCUUGCGAGAAAGCCACGGCUAACUACGUGCCAGCAGCCGCGGUAAUACGUAGGUGGCAAGCGUUGUCCGGAAUUAUUGGGCGUAAAGCGCGCGCAGGCGGCCUCUUAAGUCUGAUGUGAAAGCCCCCGGCUCAACCGGGGAGGGCCAUUGGAAACUGGGAGGCUUGAGUAUAGGAGAGAAGAGUGGAAUUCCACGUGUANNGGUGAAAUGCGUNNNGAUGUGGAGGNACACCAGUGGCGAAGGCGACUCUUUGGCCUAUAACUGACGCUGAGGCGCGAAAGCGUG
rnacentral:rRNA from 1 species